CCUCGUCGCUCCACAUAGUGCCAUCUAGCGUUUAUAAAAACAACUACAGUCGAGAUGCCAAGAAGUAAAUAAAGACUAACUGGCACUGAAUCAUUCUCGAGAUAUUUUUUCGCGUUGCCAGACAAGAUGCAAAACAUACAUAUACUAAAUAAGAACCAUACAACGAAAUAAGCGAGUGACCCUUUUGCACUAGAAGAUCUCCCUUCAUAUUAGACACGUUAGAAAUGAGUGCCGAUAAGUAUGAUCUUCUGCAAUACAGAUUCUAGCGCCAGGCAGAACAACCGUGCACCAGACAGCAUUGCAAGAGGACUGUCACUACUUGCAGACGAGAUUGAUGCAAAUUGGUGCAGCUUCACCUUGCAACGAAGUAGAUCCGAAGAAGUGCACGAGCACACUUGCCCACCGAAGUUAUCAUGCGGAAAAGACCUCUAAAAUGGUGCGGUUUUGGCUAAGAGUCCUGACUCCAAGAGGACGUCGCAUUUACCUCGUCCUGGCCAGUGGACUCUUCCUCCUGUCGAUAUCCUUAUUAAUUGCACGAUCUUGGAAACUGAAGUCACCUGCAGGGAACUUCCUCUAUCAUGAGGAACUACAAAGAACUGCGGAUGAAAUAGGGUCUAGUUUUUACUACGAGCCUCACAAAGAUGCAGAGAGGGUUUUUAGCCACAAGGAAAGCAAAGGAGGACUUACGUGGUUUGUUCAGGUUUCAGACAUCCAUCUCCGCUUAGGUGCCGAGGAAGAGGUGCAGCAGUUUCGAGAAUUUGUUGAGGAUGCGGUGACAAUCCUUAAGCCAGCUGCUGUACUCGUAACAGGUGAUCUGACAAACUCUAAGACUUAUGGGGUGAAGCUGAAGGAGAUACCCCAAGAAUGGGCCAUAUAUAAGCACUCCGUAAGGGACAGACUCAAUGUAAAUGUCUCUACCCUAUGGCUAGAUAUUGCAGGCAAUCAUGAUAAUUUUGAUGAGGUGAAUCAUUCUCACUUCAAGUCACAUGCUGUACAAGUCUCCUUUGAAAAUACGCAGACAGCCAGAAGGAUUAUAAUAACAGAUGGCGACGGCAGAAACACAACACUCAUCCCAGUGGAUGCAUCUCUCAAGCCAGGGAUCAGGGCUUAUAAUUUCUUGGGUUAUCUUCCUGACAAUGAAUUUAGGGAGUUGCAAAGAACUGCCAAAGAUGCUUACACACGGGGCGACCUUGUCUUGUUCUAUGGCCACUACCCAACGAGCACCAUCAUCACAUCAAGGGACCUGAGGAGGCUGUUGUCGGGGGGAACGGCCUACCUGUGCGGCCACCUCCACACCGGCUUCAGUUUUGCGGAUCCCAUGUGGACUAAGCAUCCCAUUGGCCUUAUGGAACUGGAACUUGCAGACUGGGCCCACAACCAUAGGUACCGGAUUCUGUCUGUUGAUAAUGGCCGAGUAACCUGGCUUGACGUUAACCACUCAUCCUGGCCCGUUGUGCUUGUAUCAAAUGUUAGCCGUUAUCCAAAAGGGGUGUCCUCCGUCAGGUACAUUGUCAGACUUCUCGUUUUCUCCAAUGAGGAGAUCUCCGCUGUGUCAGUGCGCAUUGAUGACAACUUGGGUCACUGGAUAUCCUGUAAGCACAGCCAUGGCCCUCUAUACACUGCAGUAGUUGAUGUGCAUACAGACCAGUGGGAGCCUCAGGUCACAGAGGAGAAUUUUGUGAAAAAUUUGCAGGUUUUGAUUGGGAAUUCCUCAGGGAGUAAAACACUGCUAAGGAUUGGUACAGAAGGAGCAGGCUUUGCUCAGCCACUUCCAUCUCGCCUUGGGACCGUCAUGCUGACGAUUAAUCUCCAUGAUAUGUUUAUUGUCACCCAGUAAUUCCAAAGAAGUUGAUGUGUGCUGCAUCAGGCCUAGCACACAAUCAUGUAGUGUUUGUCCAUCUGCUCAUCUUUCUUUUUUAUCCUCUCAUUGGACCUUGGUAUAUUGGUCGCCUUGCUGGGGAUAAAUAUGGUGUGGUGUUCAUGUGGGGAAUAUUUGUUGACUCCUCUGCACUGCCAGGGGAAUUAACAUAUCCUGAUGCCUUUUUCUUG
rnacentral:misc_RNA from 1 species